GUCUACAGCCAUACCACUCUGAACGUGCCCUAACUCGUCUGACCUUGGAAACUAAGCCGGGUUGGGCCUGGUUAGUACUUGGAUGGGAGGAAGAUGAGGAAGGAAGUAAAGGGAGGCUCGAGAUA
rnacentral:rRNA from 1 species